UCUGGAUCAAUACGAUCUAGAUGUGUGUC
rnacentral:piRNA from 1 species